UUACCGCUCGAGGUUCGGGGGGCAGACACACUCUCAACUUUCAAGAGUAGACUUAAAACGUUCCUCUUUGAUAAAGCCUAUAGUCAGGGCUGAUUUGAACCAGCUCUUAGUUAUGCUGCUAUAGGCCUAGACUGCCGGGGCUAUCUGGCACACUGAGCUAGAAUCUGUCUCUAUCUCCUCUUUAGAUCUUUAUGUCCCAUAUAAGUCACUGACCAGUUUUCUGUCUCUCUGAGUGUCUCUGAGUCUCUUAGCUGGCACUGGACUAAUGCUGCAGACGGUCUGCUGCCGAACUGCCUGACCCCAGCUGCAUCCAUCCUGGGCCCUGAGCUCCUCCAUCUCUUUGGCUCUUUGGCUUCUCUGGACCGUUGCUGCAGAGACCCCCCCCCCCCCGGCCCUGAGCUCCUUCUUCUCUCUGAUUCCUCUCGACUGUUACUGUUACUGCAGACAUGAACAUCAGCCUCACUGUCUUUAUUGACAUACAAAAUAGAACUGACUACGAUUAAGCCUGCUAACUGUAAUCACACUCAAUUAAUUCAACAUUGUCCAUUAUUUCUCAUAUCCUAAACCUGUAAACUGAACGUCUUUUUGUUUCACCAUUACAUGAGCUGUUGUCGUUGUUGCUGUUGUUCCUGCUGCCUCCUGUCUCUCUCUCACCCUCGUUCCCUACUCUCUCUCCCUCCCCCUCCCUCUCCGUACUAAUUCUCUCUCGCCUUUCCCCUAUCUUGCUGUCUCUCUCCCUCCCCCUGUCCUCUCCCCCUCUCCCCUCUUCUCUCUACAUUCCUCCCCAACCCAGCAGCGGCAUGGUGGCUGUCUAGCAUGAGUCUGGUCCUGCCCAAGGUUUCUGCCUGUUAAAAGGAAGUUUUUCCUUGCCACUGCUACUCAUGUUAGUUGAGAUGGGCCAAAACCCAUCUUAGGUUGGUUCUUGAUCAUCAAACAAUGAGCGUGGUCUCGACCUGCUCUUGUUCUUUGGAAAGCGUCUUGAGAUGACGACUGUUGUGAAUUGGCGCUAUAUAAAUAAAAUUUGAUUUGAUUUGAUUU